CUGCUGCUGCCAUGGGAGACAAUAUUUUGCAUUUAGUCAGAGAUCACAAGUUGCUUUUUAAAGCCGGUUAGGCCUUUGGGAAAGAGGCACUUAAGUUUGCACAGUCACACUGUGGCAGAACUGGAGAUGGAACUCAGGACUUCUAACUCCCACCCUUUUACUCCUUUCUAGACUACAGCUGUCCCCAAGUAAAGACGACUCCUGCAUGUUCAGCAGGUAGAGAUGGGGAACCAGAGACAGAAGGAUUCCCUCCCUGCUGUAUAUCAGGUAGCAUAAGGAAGAUCAUAUUCCUUAUUUCUUAAUUCACUGUUAUUGAAUGUUUGUAUAGUCCUGACACAAGGACUGCCUAGAGACCCUUGUGAGGCAUGGUGCUUGGCACCCGCCCCAGUGCUUCCAGGCUAAAGGAAUGUCUUCACUGCCAAAAAUGGUGUAUUUUUACUGCAGGGAAACUAACAUGCAUUAGCUAGCCUGCUGUAAAACCCUAGUGGAGUCAACGCACUGUAGUAUUCAGAUAAGGUCAACCACUGAUAGACCUUAUCGGAAUACUAACUCUAUAUAUAAAUAAAUAUAAAAUGUUGAUGUCACUUGGUUAUCUUGUAAUAUUUUGUCUCCUCUAGGAUUUUACAGUAGACUAGCUAACAUGUAAUAUCAUACUGUUAAACAAAGGAAAACAUCUUUUUUGCAGUGGAGAUCUAUACACAGACAGAUUUGUGCUGCAAACAGGGGAGGAGAGCUCAGUGAGUGAGAUUAUUAAUUAGCAGUGGCCACAGGUGAGACCUGCUGCCCUCAUCUGCAAUCCUAGGCUCUCCUGCAGCAGCUCAGGUCACUUCAGAAAGAGUGGCAUAAGCUUCAGUGCAGCAGCAUGGAGGUUCUUCUGGCUGUAGAGGCUCCCAUUGGAAGUGGCUUAGGAAAUCUGCUACAUGAGAACAGAAACACAAUGGGAGCAAGCUUACCAGCCCCCACAAUCCUAGACUGUAGUAUUCCUGUGUUACCCAAUCUCCUCUAUGCUCAGUCUGCCUUAUUCCUCUACCUUACGCAGUUAUCCACUCUGCUGUGUAAAGAUUCGGUGCCCCACCCUAUUUUAAUUGGAACACCAAAAGCUUGUGAUCCCCAGCACAGAUCCUGUCAGAUCUCAGAUUUGGCAAAGCAGCCGCAACUGUUUCACUAUCAUUGUGUUUUAAACCCCCUCCAAAAUACCACAGCCCUCACUCAGCAAAGAGCAAGCUGUACAAAGGGCAAAGAGCCUAUAAACAUGAAAAUGAAUUUAAAGAAAAAUUUGACAACUUACCUUACUAGCAGAUAGUUGACAGCUUUUCUCAGUAUGUGUUGUUUGAUGGAAGGGCUGGGGGAGAGAAUACAUCUGCUGUCUGUGUCCACUCCUCAGCGAAUGUAACUUUUCCCCUUAAGUAACUAUGUAGCUACAUUGUGGCACUGAACUAUGUAUUCAUUCCAAAUAAGAAUGAAACUAAGAGGAUCUUAAUGCAUCCUGGACAGUUUAAGAAUAUACUGUACUUUCUUUAAUGCAUUGUUUGGUAGCUAUGAUUGAUCACUUAAAAAAUUAAACUACUGGACAUUUCACUUCCUUACAAAAGACUUGAUGAGGUACUGGUCAAAGCUAUAAUGGAGAGAGACCAUAAUCAACAGAGCUGUAAGAGUACUACUUAGUCCCCAUUGGCACUACAGGAGGCCUGAGGGUACCGAAUGUAAAAGGAACAGUCAAACAGGAAGUCUGAAAAGUAGGGAGCCUUUUGGCCAUGUCCCUGUCAGGGAUUGUAUUGCUCGGAGACUUAGGACUAACAGUUGCACCAUUUUCCAGCUAAUAGCAUGCUAAGAAUCACUAGGUCUAGUAUUAUUGAUUGAUGUCAACAUUAUCCACUCUGAGGCCACCACUACCUAUCUAUCAGUACUAAAGAGAAACUAAAGCCACCUUUCUUAUACUGAUUUAAAAUCAUGCAGCAAAGAUAUGUGUACCUCCAUGGGUUCAGUAAUUGGGACACAGUCAGGUCAAAUUUGGCCUCAAAUCUGGGUUUUGUAAGUAAACUUUUACCAUACCUAAAACAUUUCCACUUGAACACCAAGGGAGGGGCUUUUUAAACAAUGUUUCCCCUGCAGCCUUUGCUGUUUUAACAGUAUCAUUAGGGGCUAAAGUGUGAGACUCCUGAUGUGAAAUUGACAGCUUGACAAAUCCAUUUCCAGUGUCAAAACAGUAACCCAAGAAGCAAAACCCCGUCAAGUAGUGAAGUUUAAACUUAAAACUUCAGUUUUAAACGAAGACAUUUGUAACAGACAAGGAAACUGUUUAUAAAUGUAUGUAUUUUUAGUCAAUGGGAUUAAAGGUGUCUACAAAGAA